rnacentral:rRNA from 1 species
AUUGAACGCUGGCGGCAGGCCUAACACAUGCAAGUCGAGCGGAUGAAGGGAGCUUGCUCCUGGAUUCAGCGGCGGACGGGUGAGUAAUGCCUAGGAAUCUGCCUGGUAGUGGGGGAUAACGUCCGGAAACGGGCGCUAAUACCGCAUACGUCCUGAGGGAGAAAGUGGGGGAUCUUCGGACCUCACGCUAUCAGAUGAGCCUAGGUCGGAUUAGCUAGUUGGUGGGGUAAAGGCCUACCAAGGCGACGAUCCGUAACUGGUCUGAGAGGAUGAUCAGUCACACUGGAACUGAGACACGGUCCAGACUCCUACGGGAGGCAGCAGUGGGGAAUAUUGGACAAUGGGCGGAAGCCUGAUCCAGCCAUGCCGCGUGUGUGAAGAAGGUCUUCGGAUUGUAAAGCACUUUAAGUUGGGAGGAAGGGCAGUAAGUUAAUACCUUGUUGUUUUGACGUUACCAACAGAAUAAGCACCGGCUAACUUCGUG